CCUACGGGUGGCAGCAGUGGGGGAUAUUGCACAAUGGGGGAAACCCUGAUGCAGCGACGCCGCGUGAGUGAAGAAGUAUUUCGGUAUGUAAAGCUCUAUCAGCAGGGAAGAAAAUGACAGUACCUGACCAAGAAGCCCCGGCUAACUACGUGCCAGCAGCCGCGGUAAUACGUAGGGGGCAAGCGUUAUCCGGAUUUACUGGGUGUAAAGGGGGCGCAGACGGCGAUGCAAGCCAGGAGUGAAAGCCCGGGGCCCAACCCCGGGACUGCUCUUGGAACUGCGUGGCUAGAGUGCAGGAGGGGCAGGCGGAAUUCCUGGUGUAGCGGUGAAAUGCGGAGAUAUCAGGAGGAACACCGGUGGCGAAGGCGGCCUGCUGGACUGCAACUGACGUUGAGGCCCGAAAGCGUGGGGAGCAAACAGGAUUAGAUACCCGGGUAGUC
rnacentral:rRNA from 1 species